rnacentral:rRNA from 1 species
ACGGGUGAGUAAUACGUAGGAAUCUGCCCUUAAGUGGGGGAUAACCCGGGGAAACUCGGGCUAAUACCGCAUAAUCUCUUCGGAGCAAAGCAGGGGACCGCAAGGCCUUGCGCUUUAGGAUGAGCCUACGUCGGAUUAGCUAGUUGGUAGGGUAAAGGCCUACCAAGGCGACAAUCCGUAGCUGGUCUGAGAGGACGAUCAGCCACACUGGGACUGAGAUACGGCCCAGACUCCUACGGGAGGCAGCAGUGGGGAAUAUUGGACAAUGGGGGAAACCCUGAUCCAGCAAUGCCGCGUGUGCGAUGAAGGCCUGCGGGUUGUAAAGCACUUUCGGUGGGGAAGAAAUGUUCAAAGGUAAUAUCUUUGAAAGCUGACAUUACCCACAGAAGAAGCACCGGCAAACUCUGUGCCAGCAGCCGCGGUAAUACAGAGGGUGCAAGCGUUAAUCGGAGUUACUGGGCGUAAAGGGCGCGUAGGCGGGUAUUUAAGUCGGUUGUGAAAACCCUGGGCUUAACCUAGGAAUUGCAAUCGAUACUGGAUAUUCUUGAGUAUGGUAGAGGAAAGUGGAAUUCUCGGU